rnacentral:lncRNA from 1 species
GGGGGAUACUGGGGGAUACUGGGAGGGGUAUGGGGGGAUUUGGGGGACACUGGGGUAUACUGGGAGGGGAUUUGGAGGCGUUUGAGGGAACCGGGAUAUACUGGGAGGCACUGGGAAGGACUGGGAAGGGACGUGGAGGGGAUAUGGGGGCACUGGGAGAUACUGGGAGGGAACUGGGCUAUACUGGGAGGGAACUGGGGGACACUGGGAGGGCACUGGGGAACACCCAAGGCCUUUUAUGGGCGUGUGCUGAGUUGUAUUGGUUUAUAUGGGUUUAUACUGGUUCGCACUGGUUUUUAGUGGGUUUUAGUGGUUUGUACUGGUUCUUACUGGUUUGUACUGGUGCGCAGGGUGCCGGGCGAGUUGGCCUUCGUGGGGGGCUGCCUGGGGGUGAACCCCAAGUCCUACGGGGCCUGGCACCACCGGCGCUGGGUGCUGCGGCACGCGCCCCCCGACCCCGCCGCCCAGCGCGCCUUCUGCGCCCGCCUGCUGGACGCCGACCCCCGCAACUUCCACGCGUGGGAGCACCGGCGGGCGGAGGCCGGGGGCGAGGCGGAGGCCGAGCUGGCCUUCACGGCGGAGCUGCUGGCCCGCGACUUCUCCAACUUCUCCGCCUGGCACCACCGGGGCCGGCUCCUGGCCGCCGGCCCGCUGCCCCCGGCCCGCCUCCGCCGAGGUUCGUAGCACCUUUUCGGGGCGAAAACCCCCGGAUUUGGGUCUCCGUUGCCUGAAAUCCGGCGGUUUUACCCCGAAACCAGAGCUGGAGCUGGUGCAGAACGCCGUCUUCACCGACCCGCAGGACCAGAGCGCCUGGGUCUACCUGCGCUGCCUGCUGGCCCGCGGUAGGGGCGGGGCCAUGAGGGGGGGCGGGGCCACGCGUAGGCCCCGCCCCCUUUUGGUGACCACGCCCCGUUUGGCCCCGCCCCCUUUUCUUUAGCCACGCCCCCGCCCCGCCUCCUGAGCCUCCACGCCGACCUGGAGGGCGGCACGCUGGCCGUCGCCUUCUCCCGCCCCGUCGCGGUGAGGCCACGCCCCUUUUUAUAAGCCACGCCCCUCAAUAAACCACGCCCCUCGAUAAGCCA